rnacentral:rRNA from 1 species
UACGUAGGGGGCAAGCGUUGUCCGGAAUUAUUGGGCGUAAAGAGCGUGUAGGCGGCCAGAUAAGUCCGCUGUGAAAUCUCGAGGCUCAACUUCGAGCUGUCGGUGGAAACUAUCUGGCUAGAGUCCGGAAGAGGAGAAUGGAAUUCCUGGUGUAGCGGUGAAAUGCGCAGAUAUCAGGAGGAACACCGGUGGCGAAGGCGGGUCUCUGGGCCAAAACUGACGCUGAGGAGCGAAAGCGUGGGGAGCGAACAGG